rnacentral:rRNA from 1 species
GACGAACGCUGGCGGCGUGCUUAACACAUGCAAGUCGAACGGUAAGGCCCUUCGGGGUACACGAGUGGCGAACGGGUGAGUAGCACGUGGGUGAUCUGCCCUGCACUUCGGGAUAAGCCUGGGAAACUGGGUCUAAUACCGGAUAGGACCACUGCCUGCAUGGGUGGUGGUGGAAAGCGUUUGCGGUGUGGGAUGGGCCCGCGGGCUAUCAGCUUGUUGGUGGGGUGAUGGCCUACCAAGGAGACGACGGGUAGCCGGCCUGAGAGGGUGACCGGCCACACUGGGACUGAGAUACGGCCCAGACUCCUACGGGAGGCAGCAGUGGGGAAUAUUGCACAAUGGGCGCAAGCCUGAUGCAGCGACGCCGCGUGAGGGAUGACGGCCUUCGGGUUGUAAACCUCUUUCAGCACCGACGAAGCGCAAGUGACGGUAGGUGCAGAAGAAGGACCGGCCAACUACGUGCCAGCCGCCGCGGUAA